UACGGGGGGGGCAAGCGUUGUUCGGAAUUACUGGGCGUAAAGGGCUCGUAGGCGGCCAACUAAGUCAGACGUGAAAUCCCUCGGCCUAACCGGGGAACUGCGUCUGAUACUGGAUGGCUUGAGUUCGGGAGAGGGAUGCGGAAUUCCAGGUGUAGCGGUGAAAUGCGCAGAUAUCAGGAGGAACACCGGUGGCGAAGGCGGUUCUCUGGGAAUAUCCUGACGCUGAGGAGCGAAAGUGUGGGGAGCGAACAGG
rnacentral:rRNA from 1 species